GACGAACGCUGGCGGCGUGCUUAACACAUGCAAGUCGAACGGAAAGGCCCCUUUGGGGGUCCUCGAGUGGCGAACGGGUGAGUAACACGUGAGUAACCUGCCCUUGACUUCGGGAUAACUUCAGGAAACUGGGGCUAAUACCGGAUCGGAAUCCUUGCUGCAUGGUGGGGGUUGGAAAGCUUCGGCGGUUUUUGCUGGACUCGCGGCGUAUCAGCUUGUUGGUGGGGUAGUGGCUUACCAAGGCUUUGACGGGUAGACGGCCUGAGAGAGCGAGCGGCCACAUUGGGACUGAGGGGCGGCCCAGGCGCCGACGGGAGGCAGCAGUGGGGAAUAUUGCACAAGGGGCGGAGGCCGGAUGCAGCAGCGCCGCGUGCGGGAUGACGGCCUUCGGGGUGUAAACCGCGUUCAGCAGGGGCGAAGCUUGUGGUGACGGUACCUGCAGAAGAAGCACCGGCUAACUACGUG
rnacentral:rRNA from 1 species